rnacentral:rRNA from 1 species
GCUACCAUGCAGUCGAGCGGUACAGGUGUAGCAAUACAUGCUGACGAGCGGCGGACGGGUGAGUAACGCUUGGGAAUCUGCCUAUUAGUGGGGGACAACCCGGGGAAACUCGGGCUAAUACCGCAUACGCACUACGGUGGAAAGCCGGGGACCGCAAGGCCUGGCGCUAAUAGAUGAGCCCAAGUCGGAUUAGCUAGUUGGUAGGGUAAUGGCCUACCAAGGCUACGAUCCGUAACUGGUCUGAGAGGACGACCAGUCACACCGGAACUGAGACACGGUCCGGACUCCUACGGGAGGCAGCAGUGGGGAAUAUUGGACAAUGGGGGAAACCCUGAUCCAGCGACGCCGCGUGGGUGAAGAAGGCCUGCGGGUUGUAAAGCCCUUUCAGUGGGGAAGAAAAGCCUCGACCUAACACGUCGGGGUCUUGACGUAACCCAUAGAAGAAGCACCGGCUAACUCUGUGCCAGCAGCCGCGGUAAUACAGAGGGUGCGAGCGUUAAUCGGAAUUACUGGGCGUAAAGCGCGCGUAGGCGGCUUUGCAAGUC